AAUAGAUACCCCGGUAGUCCACGCCGUAAACGAUGAGUGCUAAGUGUUAGAGGGUUUCCGCCCUUUAGUGCUGCAGCUAACGCAUUAAGCACUCCGCCUGGGGAGUACGGUCGCAAGACUGAAACUCAAAGGAAUUGACGGGGGCCCGCACAAGCGGUGGAGCAUGUGGUUUAAUUCGAAGCAACGCGAAGAACCUUACCAGGUCUUGACAUCCCACUGACCGGUAUAGAGAUAUACCUUUCCCUUCGGGGACAGUGGUGACAGGUGGUGCAUGGUUGUCGUCAGCUCGUGUCGUGAGAUGUUGGGUUAAGUCCCGCAACGAGCGCAACCCUUGAUCUUAGUUGCCAGCAUUUAGUUGGGCACUCUAAGGUGACUGCCGGUGACAAACCGGAGGAAGGUGGGGAUGACGUCAAAUCAUCAUGCCCCUUAUGACCUGGGCUACACACGUGCUACAAUGGAUGGUACAAAAGGGCUGACAAGACUGCGAAGUCAAGCCAAUCCCAUAAAACCAUUCUCAGUUCGGAUUGCAGG
rnacentral:rRNA from 1 species